rnacentral:tRNA from 1 species
GGUUAGCUCAGCUGGGAGAGCGCCUCGUUCGCAACGAGGAGGUCGCCAGUUCGAAUCUGGUACC